AUGGAGGCGACGGUGCUGAGCGUGGGCAAAUCGGCGGUGAGCGGAGCUCUUAGGUAUGCCCAAUCUGCCGUUGCAGAGGAGGUGGCGCUGCAGCUGGGAGUGCAGCGCGACCAGGCCUUCAUCAGGGACGAGCUCGAGAUGAUGCAAUCUUUCCUAAUGGUUGCUCACGACGAGCGAGACGACAACAGAUUGGUCAGGACCUGGGUGAAGCAGGUCCGCGACAUGGGCUACGACGUGGAGGACUGCCUCCAGGACUUUGCCGUUCGCCUCGAGGAGCCAUCCUGCUGGUGGCGCAUCCUGAGGACCCUGCUUGACCGGCGCCAUGUGGCCGUGCAGAUGAAGGACCUCCGAGCCAAGGUCGAAGAUGUCAGCCAGAGGAACCUGCGCUACCACCUCAUCAGGGGCCCUGCCGCUGGCCCAAAGUCCAUGGCUGCCGUCGCCGAGCAGUACUCUGCAGGCAGCAAGGCCAGUGCUACAAUGUUUGGCAUCGAGGAAGCAAGGCAUACCAUGAAGCCGAGGGUAGAUCUCGCCCAACUCAUCAACAAGGAGCCGGGCAGGGAUCAUAGAGUGAUAGCGGUGUGGGGAGCAGGUGGUGUUCUUGGUCAAGCUUCCGUGAUAAGGAGCGUGUAUGUUGAUUCAGAUAAGUUUGAAUGUCGUGCCUGGAUCAAGCUUACACAUCCUUUCGACCCGAUCGUAUUCAUGCAAAGCAUUAUGAGGCAGUUCUAUGGAUAUUCUUCUUCUUUUCCAGAAUUACCAGCUGAGGGACAGAGUUGUCAAGAAAGAGGGGGCACUAUAGGGGCUGAAGUUCUCAAGAAGAUGCUGAUGAUGAAGCGAGAAGAUUUGGUUGAUGAGUUCAAUGAGCAUGUGAACAACAAGAGUUACUUGAUUGUUCUUAACGACCUGUGUAGCCUAGAAGACUGGGACUGGAUUAGAACUUACUUUCCUGUCAACGGUAAUGGUAACCGGAUCAGUGUGGCCGCACAGCAAUUUGAAGUUGCAAACUUAUGUGUCGGUACAAAAUGCCAGGUCUCAGAGCUUAAACAAUUAGCUACUGACCAAACUCUCUAUGCUUUCUACCACAAGGGCCCUACAGAUGGAACAGACUCAAUGAAGCCAGAACCGAGCUCAAACAUGGCCAGUGCCGCUACUAACAGAUCUACAUCGCCCGAUCGUGAGAUAGCUGAUGAUCAAGAUAAAGAUGGUGCCCGCGGGAAGGACGAGGCCAGUGGGAGCCUCACUUGCAUCACGACGAUUACUGCUGCUUUGGAGGGAUCUCAGGUUUUGGAAGGGAGACAGAAAAAUGUCACAUCCUCCGAUUAA
rnacentral:rRNA from 1 species